rnacentral:rRNA from 1 species
AUUGAACGCUGGCGGCAUGCCUUACACAUGCAAGUCGAACGGUAACAGGUCUUCGGAUGCUGACGAGUGGCGAACGGGUGAGUAAUACAUCGGAACGUGCCUAGUAGUGGGGGAUAACUACUCGAAAGAGUGGCUAAUACCGCAUGAGAUCUACGGAUGAAAGCAGGGGAUCGCAAGACCUUGUGCUACUAGAGCGGCCGAUGGCAGAUUAGGUAGUUGGUGGGAUAAGAGCUCACCAAGCCGACGAUCUGUAGCUGGUCUGAGAGGACGAUCAGCCACACUGGGACUGAGACACGGCCCAGACUCCUACGGGAGGCAGCAGUGGGGAAUUUUGGACAAUGGGCGCAAGCCUGAUCCAGCAAUGCCGCGUGCAGGAUGAAGGCCUUCGGGUUGUAAACUGCUUUUGUACGGAACGAAAAGCCCUGGGUUAAUACCCUGGGGUCAUGACGGUACCGUAAGAAUAAGCACCGGCUAACUACGUGCCAGCAGCCGCAGUAAUAC